AUUGAACGCUGGCGGCAGGCCUAACACAUGCAAGUCGAGCGGAUGAAGGGAGCUUGCUCCUGGAUUCAGCGGCGGACGGGUGAGUAAUGCCUAGGAAUCUGCCUGGUAGUGGGGGAUAACGUCCGGAAACGGGCGCUAAUACCGCAUACGUCCUGAGGGAGAAAGUGGGGGAGCUUCGGACCUCACGCUAUCAGAUGAGCCUAGGUCGGAUUAGCUAGUUGGUGGGGUAAAGGCCUACCAAGCCGACGAUCCGUGACUGGUCUGAGAGGAUGAUCAGUCACACGGGAACUGGGACACGGUCCAGACUCCUACGGGACGCAGCAGUGGGGAAUAUUGGACAAUGGGCGAAAGCCUGAUCCAGCCAUGCCGCGUGUGUGAAGAAGGUCUUCGGAUUGUAAAGCACUUUAAGUUGGGAGGAAGGGCAGUAAGUUAAUACCUUGCUGUUUUGACGUUACCAACAGAAUAAGCACCGGCUUACUUCGUG
rnacentral:rRNA from 1 species